GGUGAAGCUUCGGUUGGAGCUGCUUAUCAAGAAAUGUGCCACGAAGGUUUUCAAGUCUGUGAAGCCUGAGGAACAAAUAUCAAGAGACGUAAAUAAAGGAUACAUGCAGCUGGCUCUGACAGAAGUAGAUCUCAAAUGAAACUUCAUCAAAUCAUGCUAGUAUUAUUGGUGAAGCUUUGGUUGGAGAUGCUUCUCAAGAAAUGUGGCACGAAGGUUUUCAAUUCUGUGAAGCCUGAGGAACAAAUGAAACUCCUAGCAAACCUUUCAUUGAAAGGUUUGCGUAAAAUGAUCAAAUUUGUCUAGAUUUUCAAAUCAAGAAACGUAAGGAAAGGAUACAUGCAGCUGGCUCUGACAGAAGUAGAUCUGAAAUGAAACUUCAUCAAAGGAUAAUCGGUGGAAUAUGUUCUGAUUUUUUGGAUGAAGACAAGGACAACGUUAACGACUAUACGGAUUCGGAGUUGCAUGGCCGUAGAAAGACUUCUUAUUUUUUUAAGUCGAGUGCAUUAAUAUUGGUUUGCCAUGCGUUUGGAUCAACUUAUAUGACUUGUUGGUGAUAUAUUGCAGAUCCAAGAUUAAUCUGAACCAGAGUCAUCUUGAAGUUGAUGUGUCAGAUGAUGAACUGUUGAUGGAUUGAUACAAAACAAGAUCAGCUCUUUGAUCACGUGAGGUUUGCAAAUAGAAACUUGAUUCAGAUGACAACCCAGAUGUGGAAGAACUUCAAAUCAUCCAUGAAGGAGAGAAAUCUAAAAGGAAGGGAAUAUCUAAUGCAGAUCUGGAUGCCAAAAGAAACAAAGGUAGCCGUAUCUCUGUAAACUCACCAAGUAAGAACCAAAAGCGAUUGAAAAUUCGAAGGAAAAAUUAUCGAAAUCUAGGAUCAUCCUUCU